rnacentral:lncRNA from 1 species
UUAGCGAGGAAGCCUACUAUGUCACGCUUACAUCAUAUAAGCAAUAACAAAUCAAUCACAUUUCUUUUUUAAAAAAUGUACAAUAAAAAUAUUUUUUUAUAAUUAUGAUGUGAAAUAUAGCCUUUUUGCAUAAAAAAUUCACUAAUUUUGGGCUUUUGCAAAUUUGGGUCACCUUUUUGAUUUUGCAGAUUUGGUUCGAAUUUUUAGCAAAUUGAUCAAAAUACCUUUAUUACUUUUUCUCUCUUCUCUUUUUUUUUUCGUUUUUUUUUCUCUUUCCGA